rnacentral:misc_RNA from 1 species
GGUAUUUACAAGAAAGAUUGAUGGGAAAGUAAAGAAAAAUAUGAUAAGAGAACUAAAACUAGAAAAACCCAGGUAGAAGAACCCAAAACUCUUAUUUCUGGAGCUUCCAGAUAUGGUUGCUGCAGCUCCUCUUCCUCAGAAAUGAUGGCGUCCUCCUCCCUCUCUAUAUUUGUAAAUUUUCUUUCCUUUUAUUUCUUAUUGUUUUCUCUUGUGGCAAAAAUUAGAAAAUGAUCCUUUUAUAUGGUCCUAAAAGUUGCCCUAAAAAUAGAUGAGAGCCAAGGAGUGGAUAGAAAAU